CCUGGGUGACAGAGCGAGACUCCGUCUCAAAAAAAAUCAAAAUAAAAAUUAAAAAAUAGAAGUAAGGAAACUGAAGCAUAGAAAAUGUGCAUAAUCUGCCGAGAUGAUCCAGUCAGUAAGUGAUGGGUCUGCUUGCUGUUUCCAGAGCCCUUAACUACUACACCGUACUGCCAGAUCUUAAUUUUCAUGUUCUACCCUCAAAGGUAGGAAUUCUGUCCAUCUCUAGUAGGAUAUAUUGGGGAAAAAAAUGCCCCCUAUUCUUCACCCCUCCCUUAUCCAUGUCCGCUGUAAUGUGACUUGGAAGUUCAGCCCAUCAAGAGGCAAAAUCGACUUUCCUAAUCCAUGAAGCUGGACUGGCCUUGCAGUCUGCAUUGGCCAAUGGAAUGUGGUGGAAGGAAGAGGAUCUGGUUUAAAGCCAACACUUCAAAAGACCUUUUCUGCUUUGCCUUUCUGAGAACCCUGCUGCUGCCAUGUAAUCAGGUCUAGGCUAGUCUACUAGAAAAUGAGAGAUCAUGUAGUAAGAGAGCCCAGUUGUCCAGGUUGAAGCCACCUGCAUUAGUCCAUUUUCACACUGCUGUAAAGAAAUACCCAAGCCUGCGUAAUUUAUAAAGGAAAGGGAUUUGAUUGACUCACAGUUCCACAUGGUUGGGGAGGUCUCAGGAAACUUACAAACAUGGCAGAAGGUGAAGGGGAAGCAAGGACCUUCUUCACAAGGCAGCAAGAGAGAGAAGAAGAACAAAGGAGGAACUUCCAAACACUUAUAAAACCAUCACUCACUAUCAUUAGAACAGCAUGGGGGAAAUCAACCCCAUGACCUGAUCACUUCCCUCCCUUGACACUUGGGGAUUCCAGGCCCCUCCCUAGACACACGGGAAUUACAAUUCGAGAUGAGAAUUGGGUGGGGACACAGAGCCAAACCAUAUCACCACCCAAGACCAGUCUACAUUUAACCAACCCCAAAAUAUGUAAAAGAACCCAGCCAUGAUCAGCCAAACUCGGCCCAGAGGCAGGAUAAUUUUUAAGGCUCUUCAUACAUAUCAGCCAACUGCUUUCUAGGAUGGUUAUAAGGAAGAACAACAUCAUGACUGGAGGAGACAAAAUAAGUACCAUGCGGGUAAUGUUAUGAUUUCCAGUUACAGAGAAGAGGCCCAAGGUCAGGAUUUGAAUAUAGGCAAUCUGGUAUCAGAGCCUGCCUUAUCCACUUACUGCAAAGCCGUAAUGGAGAGACUAAAGGUGCAGAGAACAGCACUUUCAUUGUUGUGAAAAUACAAUUAGCCAAGAAAGAAAUUGUGAGGGCCUGACCUGAGGAAGUGUUAGUGGAGACCAACAGGAAGCAAGAACUGUGAGCAACACAGCAAGAGGAAGGGCUACAGGGCUUGGCAGUGGAUUGAGUGGCCAUGGCGAGAAUGAGGGUAGUCACAGGGCAAGGCUAAGAUGACAAGCCCAGGCAACUGCAAGAGGAUGGGUGUCAUCAGUCAUCUCAUUUGCAGAACGCACAAACCGGUUCCAACCAAUGGAUUCUGAAAUGCCUGUGUGGGGUGAACACAUGGAGAACUGCAAGUGCACUGCAUGAAGCAGGAGUGAAGGCAUGAGAAACGUGCUCAAGGUCAUCUGCAGGGAGCUAAAUCUCCACUUCCUCGUGUGUCAAAUGAAGAUGUUGUGCUAACCGCUCUUGGAUUUUAUCCAGCAUUAACAGCAGAUAAAACUCCUAUCAAUGACGAUCCACUGAGUUUUGCUUAAAACUGAUUUUUUGUUGGUAUUCAAUUAUGAAGAAAUGUAAUUACUUAGAUAUUGUUUCACACCGUACUUGAUUUUCACCUAUUUGAGUUUCUACUGAAAAUUGAUUUUAUUACUUUUGUACCUAUAAGCUUCUAAAAAUCUAAUAUUUAGUUUUUGCUUGUUUUUUUAGUUUUGUUGGUAAGACUCAAAAUCAAAAUUUAGAAAGAAAAGAGGAAAAGUAGCUAAUAUUUAUUGCACAACUACUAUGUACCUGGCACUCUGAAUACACACACACACACAAAUAUAUAUUUCCUCCAUAAAUAUAGUCUUGUGUCAGCCAGGCGCCGUGGCUCACGCCUGUAAUCCCAGCACUUUGGGAGGCCGAGACAAGAGGAUCACCUGACGGCAGGAGUUUGAGAACAGCCUGGCCAACAUGGCGAAACCCCAUCUCUACUAAAAAUACAAAAAUUAGCCAGGCACGGUGGUGGGUACGGGUACCUGUAUUCCCAGCUACUCAGGAGGCUGAGGCAGGAGAAUCACUUGAACCCAGGAGGUGGAGGUUGCAGCGAGCCGAGAUCGCACCAUUGCACUCCAGCCUGGGCGACAAGAGUGAAACUCCACCCCAAACUAUUAUCUAUAUAUGUGUGUGUGUGUUUGAGUGUGUGUACAUAUAUAUACAUAUAUAUACAGUCUUGUGAGAAAUAGGUAAAUUUAACCCCAUUUUGCCAAUGAUGAGAUAAGGCUUAGAUAGGUUAAAUAAUUUGAACAAAGUUAAAGGUGAAUUAAAGAUAAGAGUUGGCAAAAGAAAGUAAAAGUAGCUUUAUCUUUCAUAGGUUUCCUGUUCAUUGGUGUUUUUAUGACAACAUUGACUAAUAAGAGAUUAAGGUAAUAAAUGUUCUCUUUCCCAGAACACAAGUGUUUGAGAACACUGAAGAUUUAUGCUGCUAUUCAAAACAGAAGAUCUAGUUGUGUUGCUAAAUGCCAUGGGGGAAAUGUGCCUAAACUGCAGACUGAUGUAAAACAGAUGAGAAUUCAAAUCUGAGUUCUGCCAUACUGGUUUGUAGCAUUUGGCAAGCUACUUAACCAAUCUGAAUCACAAUUUUCUCAGCUGUAAAAUUCAGAACAAUAAAAGGCCAUUUACAAGGUUAUUAUGAGCCCCAAGAAGAAAAUAAGCAUGAAAGCAUCUAUCCCAUGCCUAUGGGGCACUUAAUAAAUAUUAGUUUCCUUUUUCUUUCCAAAAACUUUUAGGUCCUGGAAUUUAUCUCUGAUUUAUGAACUUCAUGCAAAGAAUAUCUAUCAUUUCCCAGUUAAAUAAUCAACUUUACUGAAUUUGAAUUAGCAAUGUAUAUUAAUGGCUUUUACCAUUAAGGUAAAACACAAAAGCAGUGUAUAUUAGUGGCUUUGUAUAUGAGUGGCUUUUACCAUUAAGGUAAAACACAAAAUUCAUCAAGUUAUUUUUUUUUCAAAUCUCUCAUAAGUGGGUAAACAAAAACACUGCCUUGGGAAAGUUAGUUCCUAUUCUGCAUGGUAUGAGCCCAUUAAAAUUUAUAGGUGAAAUAUGUUCCAUACGCUAAACAUUCAGCACAAGCGGAAAACUGGAAACACAUACCUGCAGCUGACUCUCACUGAUGUCAACUCCCAGCUCAGUCAUUACCUCUGAUUCAUUCAUUCAUGGUAAAGUGAAUCUCAACUAAAUGACAUACACAUGAAACAAAUACUUAAAUUUAUAAGCAGUUCUUCCCCAGGGCAGGAAGUGAAACGGCAUGUUCACAAGUAAGCAAAGAGUCUCGAGAGACCAUUGUUUUUAGCUCUUUUUCCAGUGCUAUCCCUCUACUCUUUCCUCAAAUGCUCUUUUUUUCCCCCAUCAAAACAUGUAAUCCAGAAAAGCAUGUGACUAAUUCAUCCUCAUUAAAGUGUAAAUAAGGGACAAGGCUUAAUGUCUCCCAGAGGUAUUUAUCUACACCAUAAUUGGGAAUAAGGUCACUGGCUUAAAGGGAAGGAAUGCGAAUCUAGUGAUGAUGUUAACGAUCUGCAAAGCAACAAGAAAGAACAAUUUUAGUCCUGAGAGCCUUCGCAUUGCUCCUGAAGUCAAAUCGACAAGCCAUCUCAGCACUUAAAGCUGGAUAUGGCCACCAGACACCCCUAAAGCUCCUUUAUCCAGUCCUCUAAAGUGCUUCUUUCCUAAAGUAGGUGCUCAGGCAUCACUGACUGGAGCUACGGGAGUCUCAUUCUGACUAUGCCACUGACACAACCACGACGGCUGCUACCAAACCACAAUCGUUAGCUUCUUGGGAUUCUUGGUUUAAGUCCUAGGAGUUGCUAAAGAGGCCAGUGUAGGUAAGAAUGAGCUCAAGCUUAGGAAGGGCCACUGGGUGAGGUGCAGACCUGCCUCCACUGCUCAGAACGCAUCCCACUGCUCAGAACAGUAGCCAAUAAAGAAAAUGAUCAUCAGCAAAGUAACUU
rnacentral:lncRNA from 1 species